rnacentral:lncRNA from 1 species
UUUAAUUCUAAAUUCCAUUUUAAACCGUAGAAAACCAUGAAAAAACGUUGAUGACGUCACGGUAACGUGACCAAAUUAUGUCUAUGGGCUGAUAACAAAAUAACGUCAGCCAAUCAGGAGACGCGUUACAUCCAAAAUUAAAUUAUUCUUAAAUAUUUAUCACUCAACAUGCAGACAUCUUAUACGUUCAGGUAUUUCACAUCCAAUCUUUUAUGAUAAUAUUCUUUACAAAGCACAAAAAUGUCAGCAUUCACCUCAAAAGCUAACAAAACUUUUAAUCAGACUUAUAAGAAGGGAUAUAUAGUUGCCAUACUCUUGUCAGG